UACGGGGGGGGUAAGCGUUGUUCGGAAUUACUGGGCGUAAAGGGCUCGUAGGCGGCCAACUAAGUCGGACGUGAAAUCCCUCAGCUUAACUGGGGAACUGCGUCCGAUACUGGAUGGCUUGGAUUUGGGAGAGGGAUGCGGAAUUCCAGGUGUAGCGGUGAAAUGCGUAGAUAUCUGGAGGAACACCCGUGGCGAAAGCGGCUCUCUGGGACGGUACUGACGCUGAGACGCGAAAGCGUGGGGAGCAAACAGG
rnacentral:rRNA from 1 species